GAUGAACGCUAGCUACAGGCUUAACACAUGCAAGUCGAGGGGAAACGAUAUUGGAAGCUUGCUUCCGAUAGGCGUCGACCGGCGCACGGGUGAGUAACGCGUAUCCAACCUGCCCCCCACUUGGGGAUAACCUUGCGAAAGUAAGACUAAUACCCAAUGAUAUCCAUAGAAGACAUCUGAAAUGGAUUAAAGAUUUAUCGGUGAUGGAUGGGGAUGCGUCUGAUUAGCUUGUUGGCGGGGUAACGGCCCACCAAGGCGACGAUCAGUAGGGGUUCUGAGAGGAAGGUCCCCCACAUUGGAACUGAGACACGGUCCAAACUCCUACGGGAGGCAGCAGUGAGGAAUAUUGGUCAGUGGGCGAGAGCCUGAACCAGCCAAGUAGCGUGCAGGAUGACGGCCCUAUGGGUUGUAAACUGCUUUUAUAAGGGAAUAAAGUGGGAGUCGUGACUCCUUUUGCAUGUACUUUAUGAAUAAGGACCGGCUAAUUCCGUGCCAGCCGCCGCCGUAAAAC
rnacentral:rRNA from 1 species